AGAACUGGCUCUCUUUAAAGGUAUUUCUCCUCAUGCUCUCUUUCAAAGGGUGUUUCUUGAGAGGAAGGAGACUCGCUUGUAAAGUGCUCCUGUAGGUCACAGGGGUUUCAUUAGAAGGCAGCAGGAGACUGAGGCUUUACUGUGUUGCAACUACAGUAUGUGCAUGCUGGCUCAGAGGUUCAGACCAGAGCAGGAGUCAGUGCUUUCGUUAGAAAGUGGCUGGAGGCUGGAGGUUCAUUUAUAUUGGACCAAAAUGAAGAGAGAGGGAAAAAAAAACUACCUUGCCCAGUUGUCAGCUGCACAAGUGUAAUCUUGCCUAAUCAAACUGUCAAAUUGGACAGUCACCUGAUUAAUUGGGUUGCAUAACUUCCUGCCUCUUGCCCUCACUUUCCACCUUCAAGACAAUUCACAAGGCCAAGCUUUCGGUCAUUGGCCUGAAUAUUUCAUAUUGUGGCUCACUGGCAUAUAUUUCAUUUUAAGACUUCUUGGAUUAAUUUGCUUUGUUGGAUGUGCUAUGAAAUGAAAGCUGUUUUUGUAAUGGGAAAUGAAGUGGGAUGUAAAAUUAUACUGGGCAAAGUAUCUAGCACAGACAGGAUGGACCAAAUAGCCUCCUGCUGAACUGUAAGAUGCUAUGAAUACAUUGUGCUUCUGGAGUCCAA